GACGUAGGGCGCGAGCGUUGUCCGGAUUUAUUGGGCGUAAAGAGCUCGUAGGCGGCUUGUUGCGUCGACUGUGAAAACCCGCGGCUUAACUGCGGGCUUGCAGUUGAUACGGGCAGGCUAGAGUUCGGUAGGGGAGACUGGAAUUCCUGGUGUAGCGGUGAAAUGCGCAGAUAUCAGGAGGAACACCGAUGGCGAAGGCAGGUCUCUGGGCCGAUACUGACGCUGAGGAGCGAAAGCGUGGGGAGCGAACAGG
rnacentral:rRNA from 1 species